AGUAACGAUAAAGCGGGUGAAAAGCCCGCUCGCCGGAAGACCAAGGGUUCCUGUCCAACGUUAAUCGGGGCAGGGUGAGUCGACCCCUAAGGCGAGGCCGAAAGGCGUAGUCGAUGGGAAACAGGUUAAUAUUCCUGUACUUGGUGUUACUGCGAAGGGGGGACGGAGAAGGCUAUGUUGGCCGGGCGACGGUUGUCCCGGUUUAAGCGUGUAGGCUGGUUUUCCAGGCAAAUCCGGAAAACCAAGGCUGAGGCGUGAUGACGAGGCACUACGGUGCUGAAGCGACAAAUGCCCUGCUUCCAGGAAAAGCCUCUAAGCAUCAGGUAACAUCAAAUCGUACCCCAAACCGACACAGGUGGUCAGGUAGAGAAUACCAAGGCGCUUGAGAGAACUCGGGUGAAGGAACUAGGCAAAAUGGUGCCGUAACUUCGGGAGAAGGCACGCUGAUAUGUAGGUGAAGCGACUUGCUCGUGGAGCUGAAAUCAGUCGAAGAUACCAGCUGGCUGCAACUGUUUAUUAAAAACACAGCACUGUGCAAACACGAAAGUGGACGUAUACGGUGUGACGCCUGCCCGGUGCCGGAAGGUUAAUUGAUGGGGUUAGCGGUAACGCGAAGCUCUUGAUCGAAGCCCCGGUAAACGGCGGCCGUAACUAUAACGGUCCUAAGGUAGCGAAAUUCCUUGUCGGGUAAGUUCCGACCUGCACGAAUGGCGUAAUGAUGGCCAGGCUGUCUCCACCCGAGACUCAGUGAAAUUGAACUCGCUGUGAAGAUGCAGUGUACCCGCGGCAAGACGGAAAGACCCCGUGAACCUUUACUAUAGCUUGACACUGAACAUUGAGCCUUGAUGUGUAGGAUAGGUGGGAGGCUUUGAAGUGUGGACGCCAGUCUGCAUGGAGCCGACCUUGAAAUACCACCCUUUAAUGUUUGAUGUUCUAACGUUGGCCCGUAAUCCGGGUUGCGGACAGUGUCUGGUGGGUAGUUUGACUGGGGCGGUCUCCUCCUAAAGAGUAACGGAGGAGCACGAAGGUUGGCUAAUCCUGGUCGGACAUCAGGAGGUUAGUGCAAUGGCAUAAGCCAGCUUGACUGCGAGCGUGACGGCGCGAGCAGGUGCGAAAGCAGGUCAUAGUGAUCCGGUGGUUCUGAAUGGAAGGGCCAUCGCUCAACGGAUAAAAGGUACUCCGGGGAUAACAGGCUGAUACCGCCCAAGAGUUCAUAUCGACGGCGGUGUUUGGCACCUCGAUGUCGGCUCAUCACAUCCUGGGGCUGAAGUAGGUCCCAAGGGUAUGGCUGUUCGCCAUUUAAAGUGGUACGCGAGCUGGGUUUAGAACGUCGUGAGACAGUUCGGUCCCUAUCUGCCGUGGGCGCUGGAGAACUGAGGGGGGCUGCUCCUAGUACGAGAGGACCGGAGUGGACGCAUCACUGGUGUUCGGGUUGUCAUGCCAAUGGCACUGCCCGGUAGCUAAAUGCGGAAGAGAUAAGUGCUGAAAGCAUCUAAGCACGAAACUUGCCCCGAGAUGAGUUCUCCCUGAGACUUAGAGU
rnacentral:rRNA from 1 species